UAGGGAAUCUUCGGCAAUGGACGAAAGUCUGACCGAGCAACGCCGCGUGAGUGAAGAAGGUUUUCGGAUCGUAAAACUCUGUUGUUAGAGAAGAACAAGGACGUUAGUAACUGAACGUCCCCUGACGGUAUCUAACCAGAAAGCGACGGCUAACUACGUGCCAGCAGCCGCGGUAAUACGUAGGUGGCAAGCGUUGUCCGGAUUUAUUGUGCGUAAAGCGAGCGCAGGCGGUUUCUUAAGUCUGAUGUGAAAGCCCCCGGCUCAACCGGGGAGGGUCAUUGGAAACUGGGAGACUUGAGUGCAGAAGAGGAGAGUGGAAUUCCAUGUGUAGCGGUGAAAUGCGUAGAUAUAUGGAGGAACACCAGUGGCGAAGGCGGCUCACUGGUCUGUAACUGACGCUGAGGCUCGAAAGCGUGGGGAGCAAACAGG
rnacentral:rRNA from 1 species